UGCUAUCGGAUUGAUACUAAGCCAUGCGAGUCAUUGUAGCAAUACAAGGCAGACGGCUCAGUAACGCGUAGUCAAUCUACCCUAUGGACGGGAAUAACCUCGGGAAACUGAGAAUAAUGCCCGAUAGAACAUUAUGCCUGGAAUGGUUUAUGUUUCAAAUGAUUUAUCGCCAUAGGAUGGGACUGCGGCCUAUCAGUUUGUUGGUGAGGUAAUGGCCCACCAAGACUAUUACAGGUACGGGCUCUGAGAGGAGUAGCCCGGAGAUGGGUACUGAGACACGGACCCAGGCCCUAUGGGGCGCAGCAGACGAGAAAACUUUGCAAUGUGCGAAAGCACGACAAGGUUAAUCCGAGUGGUUUCUGCUAAAGAAACCUUUUGUCAGUCCUAGAAACACUAACGAAUAAGGGGUGGGCAAGUUCUGGUGUCAGCCGCCGCGGUAAAACCAGCACCUCAAGUGGUCAGGAUGAUUAUUGGGCCUAAAGCAUCCGUAGCUCGUUUUGUAAGUUUUCGGUUAAAUCCAUGCGCUUAACGUAUGGGCUGCCGGGAAUACUGCAUAACUAGGAAGUGGGAGAGGUAGACGGUACUCGGGAGGAAGGGGUAAAAUCCUUUGAUCUCUUGAUGACCACCUGUGGCGAAGGCGGUCUACCAGAACACGUUCGACGGUGAGGGAUGAAAGCUGGGGGAGCAAACCGGAUUAGAUACCCGGGUAGUCCCAGCUGUAAACUAUGCAAACUCAGUGAUGCAUUGGCUUAUGGCCAAUGCAGUGCUGCAGGGAAGCCGUUAAGUUUGCCGCCUGGGAAGUACGUACGCAAGUAUGAAACUUAAAGGAAUUGGCGGGGGAGCACCACAAGGGGUGAAGCCUGCGGUUCAAUUGGAUUCAACGCC
rnacentral:rRNA from 1 species